rnacentral:lncRNA from 10 species
GUGGUGUGAAGGUGAGAAGCAGAAAGUCAUUGUGAACGCAGCCUGUCUUAUUAUGCAGCUCCAGCUGAAAGGAUUGAUUCUGUAAUUAAAAACUUCAAUGAACAAACAAUCUUAAAGAUUUAGAUGGCAUCACUGGUGAAUCAUCCCAAACAUUUAAGGACGAGAUAACACCAUUAUACGCAAAUUAUUCUACUUAAUUAUAAAAAGGGGGAGGGAAGAUGGAUUUCCAACUUGUUUUAUGAGAACAGCAUAAUUUUUUGAUACUCAAAUUAGACAAGAAUUCCACAAGAAAGGAAAAUUACAGGCCCAUCUCAUGAACAUCAAUGCAAAUGUCUUAAAUAAAAUAUUAGCAAAUUGAGUCC